rnacentral:rRNA from 1 species
GUGGGGAAUCUUGCGCAAUGGGCGAAAGCCUGACGCAGCAACGCCGCGUGGGGGACGAAGGCUCUCGGGUUGUAAACCCCUUUCAGCAGGAACGAAAUUGACGGUACCUGCAGAAGAAGCCCCGGCCAACUACGUGCCAGCAGCCGCGGUAAUACGUAGGGGGCGAGCGUUGUCCGGAUUCAUUGGGCGUAAAGAGCUCGUAGGCGGUUUCGUAAGUCGGGUGUGAAAACCCCAGGCUCAACCUGGGGACGCCACCUGAUACUGCGAUGACUUGAGUCUGGUAGGGGACCACGGAAUUCCUGGUGUAGCGGUGAAAUGCGCAGAUAUCAGGAGGAACACCGGUGGCGAAGGCGGUGGUCUGGGCCAGUACUGACGCUGAGGAGCGAAAGCGUGGGUAGCAAACAGGAUUAGAAACCCCUGUAGUCC